AUAAAUAUUUUAAAAUCCAUUAGGACCAAGAAGUGUUUGAUUUAUAAAAUUACGAAGAAGCAGAUCAAGAAUUCUAAAGCAGUUGCAGGUCAUUCCCUUUCGAAAGAUUAUGUCAUUGAAGACAGGAUAUAGAGGCUAAGCAUAAUGUACAGUUCGAGUCUCAUAUUUUCAACUGGUAGUAUAUGUAACUUAUGAAGUAACGCGUACCUUUGAACUAUACACGUAUUCUUCCUUUUCGCAUCUCUUGCAUUCUAUCGUUCACUCUUCGUCUCUACCAAUAAUUAGUAAACUGGAGUCAGAUUUCAGUAUCAAGCGAUAUAACAUAUAACAAGAUAUACACAAUCUUAAAAACUGUCCUUUAUAAACAUCACUCGUAAUUAUAAAAUACAUUUUGAUCUGAAGUGUUCUAAGAAAUUCUACGCACUGUGACGACCUUUUAACGGGUCCAUUAAGUACCAGCAUUUGUAUGUGUUAUGUUGCUUGAAACCUGCGUUUUCCCUAGAGUUUUGACAACGACUUCGUCACGUUUCAUUACACUUGUUUCAAAAUUCUUCCUCGUUUUCUUUCUCUUUCUAAAUUCGAUCGUUCCAGAAUUUAUAUGUUUUUUUGGAUAAUUUCGACUCUUAUACCACGAUGAGAAGCUCCUUGGCUUUUUUACAACUUCUAUCGCCAUAAUUCGGUGCUAAUGACAAAUGUAACGUCUCAAACGAUUCGUUUGAUAUCAAGAAUAUUAAACACAGGAAAAGGGGACAAACGAAAUUAAUUAUUACGGAACACCAGGGGACCACCAUAACAUAACGUUCCUGAGAAACUUAUAUCAAAUUAUUUUUUAAACGCUCGCUUUCCGACAUAUUGUUGCUGGGCUAUCAUAUGAGGUAAGAAAGAUUGCAGAUUACCACUUGUAUCAUAGUACACACGCAUACCACGUACGUCAGAAGAAUUGACGAAAAAUCGAAGAGAGAAGAACAGCCAGACUCUACCACUCAAGCUAACAAUAAGAAUGGUUAACGUUAUAUUACGUUCGCUUAAGAACUACAUAGAACAGUCCGAAGAGAACGAGAAGACUAUUGAAAGGGGCACAUAUGAUACAUAGAAUAUUCACAACCUGGCAAACCAUCUUAAAGCUGGUACUUAAUGGGUCGAUCACGAAGUAACACGUUAAAACGAAGCUGACACAUUUUAUUCUCACAGAAAUUGUUAGUGAUCGAUGAUGUAUCUGCAUAGUUCUCGACGAUUCUGCGUUCGUGCGAGUCUCUUGGAACGGAAACGUUGGAAGGAGAAGCCAACGAACUUAGUCGUAUUACAUCUUUCAAUUGUCAUUCUAUAAAUUCAUGCGAAUAAAUCGUUCUACGAUCGCGUAAAUCGUGCUCGAUAUUGCAACAGACGAAAAGAGAAUCACGCCUUACAAGGACGGUACACGAUUUUUCGGACGGCCUGUGAUUUCUUUUCCCAGUCGAGAAAGGUUCCCAGGUUUCACGCAGGGAAUACAAUUUAUAGUUUGCACGAGAAGAACGUCGCAAAGAGCUAGUUAAAAUUGACCUUUGCUUUUAUUCCGUAUGUCAGCUCUUACGAUAAAUCAUACAACCAUAAAGAUGUCAGGCGGUUUGAUCAACGACUUAAAUCGUGGGAGUGAGCUUCUUUCUUCUUUCUUGUUUCUUUUCAUUUGGAGAACAUAGCAUACCCGACAAAGGGAAACAUGAUUUAUACAUCAGAUAUUAACAAUAUUUCUUUUUCAGUUCUGCUGGGGAACACGAGUGUCACACGUGUUACAUAUUGCUAUUGCAAGAUUUUCUCACUUAUUAAUUCAUUGCAGUCUUAAGUUUUUAAUCGAACGUAAUGCAUCGUAUACCUAUAGGAAAAUUGAUUUCAUUCGAAGAUGAAACCUUUUCGCGGAACAAUCGGAUACAAGCUAAAGAAGAAAGAUAUUUUUGAAAAAACUUUUCUGCUGUAGAAGACUGCAGAUGAAUCAACGGAUACACACUUUCUCAAAUUUAACGCAACGUUUACCUAGCAGUUUCGUUAUCUACAUCUUUAAAUAUCGAAAAAGUGUGCCCUGAAUAGAGUUUGGACCAUUUUCUCUCAAGCAUUUUAACAACGAUACUACUGUAAUGAUAAAGUUGGCAGAUUUGUAUAAUUGGUAAACAGUGUGUUACGAUAAAAUUGAUACGAUUAUACGGCUGUAUUUUUACAUAUACGGAAGCCCUCGCAAGCUGUGAUAUCUCGUUCGAGAUAAAAGUUUGUUUAAAUACUUAACUACGACAAUCUUCCCUGAUGCUACUAUUCUAUAAUACUAUGAUUGAGCCUAGAAGAACGUUCCAACUAUCGAUGCUUGCAACUAUACCUCUUCUUAUUUUUCACGUAACGCUACAUAACGUUAAUCGAACUUGGUCCAUUGAACGUCAGAUCGCUUCGCUUAUUGCUCUCUUACAAUACGUCCCUAAGUAACUCGUCCAGAGGUCUGGAUCGAUGUCUGUUCAAACGUGUGUAUCUCUACAGAUAGAGAGA